GGAGGAAAGCCAAGUGGGACCCUCAGGAAAUACUUUUUGUGCUGGCUGCCAUUGUCACGGGCACUUACUCAGUUUCAGUGUCAGCCUGUGGAGAAAAUUCAGAUUUCCUUUAGAAAUGAAGUUGAAAAGAAAUCUCGGGAAGAAUGUGCCCUUUCCUCCUGAAGCUGCGUUCUUAGUGAAGUGCUUACCCUGGUGCCUCGAAGUCCAAAGUUCAAGUGUUCCCACCUUGGGGAAGGAAUGGACUUGUCUGCUAGCUGGAAACCAAGCUGCAGUGCUCAGUCUUGUUCUUAGACUCAAAUUGGAGAAAGGUGUGUGACUGGACUGCAUCACCCUCACCAAGACUAGAAGACCCAGUUUCAGAAGAGGCAGACUUUGAGAUUCAUGGAACUCAGAAAAACACUGUACUUAUUAUUAGUUUUAUUAUAGCAAAAAGGAUUCAUAAGGUGAGGUCUGUAAGUAAAUAUAGUAUUCAUUUUUCAUUUUCCUUUCUUUUACCUUUCCUCCUCUCUCCCCCUUUCC